rnacentral:ncRNA from 1 species
AUAACUGCGUUGAAAAAGAGGAGUAUCCGUAGUAUGUUUUCAGAGAGUCGUCGGUGGGUGAAAAGACGACAGCAGAGUACGGGGAAGGGCACUUUAGAGCAGGACUUCACAAGAGUGGAUUUAUGCAGCCUGCAUAGAUCAAUAAGGGUGGAACCGCGGAAGACAGACUUUCGUCCCUUGC